GGGGAAAGGUCGUUCCUUGGUGUCGCACCAUUUGUGCACAAGCUGUUUCAAGGGGCUUUCCUGUAAAAACCCCAACGUAAAACUGAGCAUUGCAAUAAAAGAAAAACUAGCUCUGCUUUCUGAAGAUCCGUUAUCUAAAGGAUAUCGAGAUUUGUGUUUGCAUCGUGGAAAGCGCGCAGAAUUACUAGAAUUAAUUUGCAAAAUAUUGUAUUUAAGAUAAGAGUUCCUUUAUUGUCCCUCAGUGGAGAGAUUCGGGUGUGAUAGUGGUAAAGACAGACAUUUACACAGUUAUUAGCACAUUGUGUUGACAUUAUCUGUUUAGAUUUUCACUGCUGCUGAGAUAGAGUGACAUUAAAACUUGACAUCACACCGUGUUUUUGUAAUCCAGAUAUUCUUUUUCUAUUGAGUCAAAGGGGAUUCCUGUAAACCAGGCUGGGGCCUUUUCUCAGAAUAGACAAGACUGACAUCCUCGAAUAGAAACAUCCGCUGAAGAUACGAGCGAUUGAAGCAUCCGAGUCCCUAUCUGUGAGCGGAGGAGCUGGAGGAUAGUUCAGAGGCCUUGGUGGAUGUUUGCAUGUGAGAGGGUUCAACAGUCUGGCUGCUGCUCGGAUUUUCCUCACCUUAAUGGAGCGCCUGGGCUUCUCCCAGUUCUACCUGCAAGGAGGAGACUGGGGCUCGCUCAUCACCACCAACAUGGCUCAGAUGAGGCCCGAGUAUGUGUGAAACAAUCUAGUAGAAAACACAGCAUCGUCAUUCCAAAAGAAUUUCCCAAGCUGACAUUGUAUCAUUAAGUGGCUGUGAAAUAAAGCUCGCUCUCUGCACACAUUUCCAGAAAACCACAAUGUAAACAAACCUUUGAAUUUUAUAAAACUUACCGUGCAUUUGCAGCACCUUACAAAGGUAUUCAUCUCCCUCAAACUUUUUCACAUUUUGCCAUAUUAAAACUACACAUUUCAAUGGGUUUUAUGUGAUAGACUGACACAACGUAGUGCAUUAUUGUGAUGUUGAAAGGAAAAGGCUACAUGUUAUCCAAGAGCUGCCUACAUGGUGGGUGGCAACGUAGGGAACACAGCCUAACAGACCUAGAGUUAUUUAUUAAACAUUAAAUAACUUAAACAGUGGUUAAUAGCACUACAGGGCUCACUAAAAACACACAAAUAAGAUUCACAAAAGUUGCCUGUGUGUAAGGAAUUACAAGGUGAUGGAAGUCAGAUUUUCCCCCUUCUAUUGACAAAUCAUUUUAAGAGAUGAACAGAUGCAAUCCACCGAUCCGUUGUGGUGAAGAGAGAGCUGAGCCAAAAGGCCAAGCUCUCGAUUUACCCGUCGAUCUACGUU